CUCCUACCUCCAACCCCAGCACAUCACUGCCCAGUUCAACUCCUUCCCCACAGCUUCAAAGCGGAUUGAGCCACUUUCAUAUGUACCUCAACUGUCCUCUAAAUUAACUAUGCCAAUCUUUGUGUUGUUGUUGUUAGUCCUGCUAUCUUGUUCCUCAGCAUCCUAUGAGGCUCCCAAGAAUGUCCUGGACAAGUUGAGGAACAGGAGAAAAGAUGGCUUUCCCAAGUUCAAGUGCCUGGGAGGCUGACGCCACAUGCCAUCUGCUGGUGUUACGCUGCAUCGCUCCACAGUGACUCCAGAGGCCAAGAAAGAACAAAGGGAACCCUCGUCUCCUCUAGAGAGAGGGGCUUCCAUGGGUCCCCUGCUACAGGCUUUUGACAUGAACAAGUCCAGAACACAACCUUGAGAAGAAUGAGGAAGAUAAGGACUAUUCUACCUUGGCUCGUAUCUCAAAAUUAUCAUCAUUCAUGUAAAGUUCACAACCACAAAGACAUUCCUACUUAUUUUCUCAGGUGUUGCAAAGCUUUGACAUGGGAUGAAAAUAUCACUCCUAGAGGUAUAAACUAGACUGAUUCAGAGUGCCCUGAUUUUCUCAACAGCCCUCCUCUCGUACAUUAUGGCAUCAUCUUAAGGAAUUGAGUCUCAGUCUCUGCACCAGCCCCAAGUGUGGCAAGAUUUCAUCCCACUUGACGAUCUUCCUUGGGCUCCAGUCCCUGUUCACUGCCAGGGCUGGGGGGAGGCAGGAUGCAACAGCUGCCAGAAAG
ensembl:lncRNA